UUAACACAUGCAAGUCGAGCGGAAAGGCCCUUUCGGGGGUACUCGAGCGGCGAACGGGUGAGUAACACGUGAGUAAUCUGCCCUGCGCUCUGGGAUAGCCACCGGAAACGGUGAUUAAUACCGGAUAGGACCACUUCACGCAUGUGAUGGUGGUGGAAAGUUUUUUCGGCGCAGGAUGUGCUCGCGGCCUAUCAGCUUGUUGGUGAGGUAACGGCUCACCAAGGCUUUGACGGGUAACCGGCCUGAGAGGGUGACCGGUCACACUGGGACUGAGACACGGCCCAGACUCCUACGGGAGGCAGCAGUGGGGAAUAUUGGACAAUGGGCGGAAGCCUGAUCCAGCAACGCCGCGUGAGGGAUGACGGCCUUCGGGUUGUAAACCUCUUUCAGUACCGACGAAGCGAAAGUGACGGUAGGUACAGAAGAAGGACCGGCCAACUACGAGCCAGCAGCCGCGGUAAUACGUAGGGUCCGAGCGUUGUCCGGAAUUAUUGGGCGUAAAGGGCUCGUAGGCGGUUUGUCGCGUCGGGAGUGAAAACACCGGGCUUAACUCGGUGCUUGCUUUCGAUACGGGCAGACUAGAGGUAUGCAGGGGAGAAUGGAAUUCCUGGUGUAGCGGUGAAAUGCGCAGAUAUCAGGAGGAACACCGGUGGCGAAGGCGGUUCUCUGGGCAUUACCUGACGCUGAGGAGCGAAAGUGUGGGGAGCGAACAGG
rnacentral:rRNA from 1 species